rnacentral:rRNA from 1 species
GACGAACGCUGGCGGCGUGCUUAACACAUGCAAGUCGAGCGGUAAGGCCCUUUCGGGGGUACGACGAGCGGCGAACGGGUGAGUAACACGUGGGUGACCUGCCCUUAGCUCUGGGAUAAGCCUGGGAAACUGGGUCUAAUACCGGAUAUGACCUCAUGACUCAUGUUGUGGGGUGGAAAGCCUUGUGCGGCUAGGGAUGGGCCCGCGGCCUAUCAGCUUGUUGGUGGGGGUAAUUGCCUACCAAGGCGACGACGGGGUAGCCGGCCUGAGAGGGCGACCGGCCACACUGGGACUGAGACACGGCCCAGACUCCUACGGGAGGCAGCAGUGGGGAAUCUUGCGCAAUGGGCGAAAGCCUGACGUAGCGACGCCGCGUGAGGGAUGACGGCCU